rnacentral:rRNA from 1 species
UAUUGGUCAAUGGGCGGGAGCCUGAACCAGCCAAGUCGCGUGAGGGAUUAAGGCCCUACGGGUCGUAAACCUCUUUUGCCGGGGAGCANNGCGGCGGACGUGUCCGCCGUUUGAGAGUACCCGGAGAAAAAGCACCGGCUAACCCCGUGCCAGCAGCCGCGGUAAUACGGAGGAUGCGAGCGUUAUCCGGAUUUAUUGGGUUUAAAGGGUGCGCAGGCGGCCUGUUAAGUCAGCGGUAAAAGCCCGGGGCUCAACCCCGGCGAGCCGUUGAAACUGGCGGGCUGGAGUUGGAGAGAAGUACGCGGAAUGCGCGGUGUAGCGGUGAAAUGCUUAGAUAUCGCGCAGAACCCCGAUUGCGAAGGCAGCGUACCGGCUCCACACUGACGCUGAGGCACGAAAGCGUGGGUAUCGA